UUUUACGUAAACAUGUGUCAACAAUGACGUCACUUAAUUGGUCCGGCCACACAUGGAGUAUUGCUGUCAUCUCUGGUCUGGCGCACCCCAGUAUCAGCUCGAUCUAUUUGGCCGCGUGCAACGCAGAGCAGCUCGAAUUGUCGUGGACCCAGUGCUCUGUGAACGGCUGGAUCACUUGGCGUUGCGUAGAGACGUCACGUCAUUGUGUGUCUUCUACCGCAUUUAUCACGUCUACAGGCACCACCCGCACGCCUGGUGGCCCGAAACUUAGGGGAUAAACGACGAGAACAUUAAGAAGAACGAGAGUCUUGUUCCAGACUUCAGUGAAUCAAGCUUCUGAGGAUGCCUCGUGUAGAGAAAA